CUUUUGGUGAAUGUGCCCAUGAACACGUCAACUUCGCCAGGGUCUAUUCCAAAGAAUUCUGUGACACCCCGGCCAGUUGGGCCCACGGACCCAAUACUGUGCGCUUCAUCAAUGUAGAGCUUAAAGGAAAACUCACACCUGAGCACAUCUUCAGAUGCUAAGAUCAUUCCAACUCCAGAUCCUCGGUCGGGAGCAAGAACUGUACUCCACAUUAGCCCUAACUGGAAGGCACAACUUCUGUAUUCCGAUGCCAAUUGAUGGAUGGAUUCAGCAAGCAGUGGAUUUGGGUGCACUGUGUGGGUAGUGUCAUCUGGGGUGUCCAAAAUAAACAUCUUCUACAGUCAUAAAGGAAUAAGCUGCUAUACAUUGAAUAAAUAUGCUGGUACUUACUGUUGUGUUUGAAGAUCCUUAUGGUUGCACCUGAGAGUCGGGCCCCAAGCACAAGAGAUGCGUGGUUUAACUCAUCACUUAAAAUGA